rnacentral:tRNA from 1 species
CAAGACGUAGCAUAACAAAAGCAUUCAGCUUACACCUGAAAGAUGUCUGCAACCCACACAGAUCGUCUUGA